GACGAACGCUAGCGGUGUGCUUAACACAUGCAAGUCGAACGGAAAGGCCCUGCUUUUGUGGGGUGCUCGAGUGGCGAACGGGUGAGUAACACGUGAGUAACCUGCCCUUGACUUUGGGAUAACUUCAGGAAACUGGGGCUAAUACCGGAUAGGAGCUCCUGCUGCAUGGUGGGGGUUGGAAAGUUUCGGCGGUUGGGGAUGGACUCGCGGCUUAUCAGCUUGUUGGUGGGGUAGUGGCUUACCAAGGCUUUGACGGGUAGCCGGCCUGAGAGGGUGACCGGCCACAUUGGGACUGAGAUAGGGCCCAGACUCCUACGGGAGGCAGCAGUGGGGAAUAUUGCACAAUGGGCGGAAGCCUGAUGCAGCAACGCCGCGUGCGGGAUGACGGCCUUCGGGUUGUAAACCGCUUUCGCCUGUGACGAAGCGUGAGUGACGGUAAUGGGUAAAGAAGCACCGGCUAACUACGUG
rnacentral:rRNA from 1 species